CCUAUUCCACUCCCCCGUUGGUUAGCGACUUGCAUCUUUAUACAUUUGCGCCGUUGCUACGAAAGAAGACACUCCCGCGAGUGCCAGAAGGGCCACCGCGUGAAAGUCAUGUCAGUUUCGGAUCUUCUUUUCACUCAAUGCAAGCUCGGCAGAUUGAAACAAGCCUUCCAAACCCUCUCUUACCUCCACCCUCUCUCCCCCCCUCUCUCCCCCUCUCUCUAUUCUUCCCUUUUGCAACUCUGCAUCGAUUCAAACGCAGAAAAAGAAGGCAGAGUCCUCUAUCAUCAUCUUCUGCAAAAUUGUUCUGUCUCGGAUCUGCAUCUAAACACCAAAUUCAUCGUAUUCUACUCCAAAAUCGGUGAUCUUGAUGCCGCUCGCCGAGUGUUUGAUGGAAUGCCUCAACGAAGUGUUGUUUCUUGGACUGCCCUCAUAUCAGGGUAUUCUCGAAACGGGUAUUUGAGGGAAGCUUUGGAACUUUUCUUGCUGAUGCGUCAGUCAGGUUUUAAGGCUAAUCAGUUUAGUUAUGGGAGUGUUUUGCGGGCGUGUACGGGUUUACUGUGUAUUAAAAGUGGGAAACAGAUUCAAGGUUGUAUUGAGAAGAGUCAAUUUUGUGGAGAUUUGUUUGUGCAGAGCGCUCUUGUUGACUUGCAUUCGAAGUGUGGGAGGAUUGAAGACGCAAUCCAUGUGUUUGAGAAAAUGUUGCACAGGGAUGUUGUUUGUUGGAAUGCACUGAUUGGAGGAUGCACGGUUCAGGGGCUUGGAGAUUUUGCGUUCAGGAUGCUCCCUUCAAUGCUGAGAGACGGUAUUAUGCCUGAUCAUUUCACAUUUGGGAGUGUCUUGAGGGGGUGCGGUGGAGUUAGAGCUCUUGUAAAGGUGACCCAGAUUCAUGGGUUUAUUGUCCACUUGGGCUUUGAGUCUUAUAGAGUUGUAAUUGGCUCACUUAUCGAUGCUUAUGGGAAAUGUAAGAGUUUGAGUAGUGCGAGGCUUUUAUAUGAUUCUAUGCUUGAGAAAGAUCUUAUAUCUAGCACUGCAUUGAUCACAGGAUAUGCACAAGAAGGAAGCCAUUAUAGUGGAGAGGCCUUGGAGCUUUUUAGUAAAAUAAAUCAGAUGGGUAUGGGAGUGGAUGAUAUCAUCAUGUGCUCCAUGCUCAACGUAUGUGCCAAUGUAGCAUCAUUAAGCUUGGGACAACAAAUCCAUGCUCAUGCACUCAAGAACCGUCUCAAUCAUGAUGUAGCUUUGGGUAAUGCUCUUAUUGACAUGUAUGCCAAGUCAGGAGAAAUUGAGGAUGCUCGUCGUGCUUUUGAUGGGAUGCAAGAGAAAAAUGUGAUUUCGUGGACUUCAUUGAUGGUGGGAUAUGGAAAGCAUGGUUAUGGAAAAGAAGCGAUCUUGCUCUUCGAGAUGAUGGAAGAUAAAGGGUUGAAACCAAAUGAUGUUACAUUCUUGUCUCUCCUCUUUGCUUGUAGUCAUACGGGCUUGACUAACGAAGGAUGGGAUUGCUUUAAUUCCAUGGUUAUCAAGUAUAAUAUUCAACCUAGAGCUGAACAUUAUUCUUGCAUGGUUGAUCUCCUUGCACGUGGAGGUCAGUUAAAAGAAGCAUAUGAUCUGGUAAGCAAGAUGAAUGUCAAACCUAAUGCCUCACUUUGGGGUGCUGUGCUUGGGGCUUGUAGAAUAUAUGGUAACAAAUCGCUUGGAGAAAUAGCUGCAGCACAUCUAUUUGAUUUGGAUCCGAUGAAUCCUGUAAAUUAUGUCGUGCUAGCUAACAUAUAUACUGCAGCUGGUUUGUGGGAAGAUGCGUGGAACACGAGGAAAAUGAUGGAAGAGAGAUGUAUAAAGAAGGAGCCAGGAUAUAGUUGUAUUCAGUUUACCAAGAAGAGGAUAGCUCUUCUUCUUUGAAACAAGUUGUCAGUACACAAAAUUUCUUUCAGAGAUUGAUAUUUCCCAAUGAGCAUAGUGACAACAAACUCAUAUUGUUGAAUUAUAUCUCUUAAUAUGGAAUAUGGUGAAUUUGUGGAGCAAUCAGAAAGAUUACAUGAUUUUGUGCCUUAAUAGUCUAAAAAAGACAUAGUGAGAGUCUGCCAACACACUUUAUUGAUGCUGCGCGCUCUUGUUUUCCUCAUGUUCAGGGUUUUGCGUACAUCCUUACCUUUAUGGCUACAUGCAAAGAGAGAGAAGGUCACCAAUGGUUGGCAACCCAUUGACACUUUUUCCAGUUUUGUGGUGCACUAGAGUGUUGAAUCUGGCUGUUCUUUGGGAGACGGUGCAACAAAUGUAUGGAUUGGAUGUUAAACAAUCAUGACAAACGGCCCCACAUAGCCUUUGUUGGAUCAGAUCAUUGUGCUUGCUACUUGUCCACAAAAAAAGGAGCAGGAAAAAAGAUUAUUAGUUAUCCAGGUCGUCUUUAUGAUCUGAAAAUUGACCAUUCUAUGGUAGUAGGUUCAUGCUUAUUAAGGAGUAUUUCUUCUUCUUCCUUAAUCCAAAACUUCUAUGUGAGGAAGCAGAGUUAUCGACUCUGAGUAAUGAGGAGAUGGUUUUCAGUGCAAUAUGUGUGAAUCUGAGGCAGAAGAGAUGGGGAUUCUUAGGACAGAUUUCUUCAAUGUUGACGAAUUCAUUGGCGGAUUCGGUGAUUCAGCAGUUUCAAAGGUCUCUGCGGUUAGCAUUGGAUUUCUUCAAUUUGGUUGGGCUGCAAAAGGGUUUUUUCACAUAGCUUGGAGUCUUAUUCUACCUUAGUUCACGUGUUGGUUAUUUCAAGGAGGUCUGAGGAUGCGCUGUCCCUGAUGAGAUUUUAAUGCAGAAAAAGGGUGUUUCUGCUGUGGCUAUCUUGGAAACAUUGAUUGAUACUUGUGAUAUCUGUGCCUUGAGUUGAGCUGUCUUUGAUGCAUUGGCUAGAGCUGCUACUCAAGUCAGGGCUAGUGAAGAUGUUUAUGUGGUAAUCAAGCCCAGGAUGGAAGGCUAUGGGAUCUCAAUUCAUGCUUGGAAUAACUUCUUGCAUCAUCUUUGGAAGCUGAAUGAUAGUGGUAGGUUUUGGAAGAUGUACAGGGAAAUGUUCUUGAGAGGGUAUGUAGAAAACAUGAGUACAUUCAAUUUAUUGGAUGUUGAAGAGUGGAAUUAUGCCCAAUGUUGUUACUUUCAACCUGCUUAUUGAUGGAUGUUGCAAGAUUGGUGAUGUUGAUCUUGCUUUUGAUAUGCUGAAGAAGAUGGAGGUCAUGUCAGGGAAUCAUGUAAAACCCAAUUGCAUUACUUAUAGCUACCUCAUUAAUGGAUUCCGCAAAGCUGGAAAGGUGGCAGUUGCUGAAGAAUUUUGGGAAGACAUGCAAAAAGUGGGGAUUGAGCCAAAUGUAUGGACAUGUGACUAUGAUCAAUGGGUACGAGAGUGAUGGGAGGAUGGAAGAGGCUUUUUGGUUGUGCGAUAAGGAUAAAGGUCUAAUGCCAAAUGCCGUUGUAUAUAACUCCGUAAUCAAUUGACUAUUCAAGCAAGGAGAAUUAGAAGAAGUGUGUUUUCUAUUAUCAAACCAAAACUUACUAAAAAUAGUAAAAACUGAAAUAAACGGGAAAUUCGACCGUCAAUCUGAUUGAAAAUCGCAAAUUUGGCAUUGGCAACCUGGCGUAGCUGGGUUGGUUUGAUAAAGUAACUUGUCCUACCCCAAAAUCAUAUAUGAUAUGUCGAGUAACUCAUUCUGGUUUGCGAGAUAUGUCUGUUUUAAGGUUCUGACAGUCUUGACGACUUCUGCCUCCGACCGGGCCUUCUCUGAUCCAUCUUGGACACAAAAGUGUCCGCGACCUGCUCUACAUCAGUAUUCAUCCUGACCAAAUAACAGUCUAUUCUUACAUGUAGUUGCUGCAAAAAUGGACCCAUGAAAGACUCUUUGAAAUAUUUUAACAUGAUUAUAGAAGACAAGGACCUUGUUAAAGAUGUUGUUCCAUACAAUAUUCUCAUUAAUUAUCUAUACAAGAACAGGAAUAUCGAAGGAGGGAAGCAACUACUGAGCAGUAUGUUUACCCGAGGACUGAUCCCUGACCUGGUUACAUACAGCACGUUGAUUGAUGGGUACUGUAAGGAGGGGUAAAUAGUUGAUGCACUUGAAAUUUAUGAUGGAAUGGGGAAGGCUAGGCAAAUGCCAAAUUUGGUAACAUACAAUUCUAUCAUUAACGGUCUUUUCAGGGAGUCAUCUGUGGGCACCACAAGGGUUGUGUUGGAUGAGAUGCGGAGCAGUUUACUAGUAGAUGUUAUAACCUUCAACACUUUGCUAAAUGGUUAUUUCAGCAUUCAAAAGAUUGGGUAUGCAUUUUCUUUAUGGCAUGAGAUGAGACAGUUUGAGACUUUAGCAAAUGAAGUAACUUGCAAUAUUUUGAUUAAAUUUUUGUGCAAGUUUGGGUGUAUUCAACAGGCAAAAGAGCUAUGAAGGUGAUGUUGGAUAGGGGCCUUGUUCCUGAUUGUAUUACUUAUACAAUUCUUAUUACCGAGUUCAAAAAGAAUUGCAAUGCACAUGAAGUAGUUGAGUUACACGAUCA